UCGCGGCAGCGGUGCGGCACUACACGGGCAGCCAUCGCCCUGGACGCCCGCAACCACGUCCUGUACAGCAACCGUUCGGCCGCCUACGCCAAGCAGGGCGACUACAGCCGUGCCCUGGCCGACGCCUGCCGCACCAUCGAGCUGCGUCCCGACUGGGCCAAGGGAGCCGCUUUGGCAGGGGGUUGGGCUCGAAGAUCUCUGCAGGUCCCUUCCAGCCCCUGCGAUCCCGCGGGCUCUGAUGUCACCGGGGCGCUGCGUGAAGUGGUCGUGAGGUGACGAGGUUGGUUUUUAGAAUCACAAGGUUGGGAAGGACUUGGAAAACCCUCCAGUCCAGCCGUCCUCCCAUCACCGCUGCAACCAGCAGCUCUUGCAGCUCCUCAGCCGGACGCCUCUUGAAACGGCGACUCCGCCGCCUCCCUGGGCAGCCGUUCAGCGCCUGACCACCUUAUGUCUAAUUAAACUUCUCCCGUGACGAUUUGUGGCCGUUGCCUGGGACAAGAGGCCAAACCCCUCCUCAUCGCAGCCUCCCUGUAGGCUGUGAUGAGAAUGGGGGAGGCAGGGGGGAGAGGGGAAAAUGAGAUGAGAAAGCUGUAGGGUGCAACGAGGUCUCCCCUGAGCCUCCUUUUCUCCGGUCUGAACAAUCCCAGCUCCCUCAGCCGCUCCUCAUAAGACCCCGUUGUGCUCCAGACCCCUCACCGGUUUCAUUGCCCUUCUCUGGACCUUCCCAGUGGAGCUGCCUGCUGGUUUUUGGGCUCCUCGUGACGCGGUGCUGACGUCACCGUGCCGUGGUCGCGAUGUCACUGUCGUGCUUUGCCGUCACCUGCCUGCGUUGCUGGGCUCUCUGAAACACUUUGGAGGUGUUUGGGGCCCCGCUGCCGUGUCACCGCUGCCGUGUCAGCAUCACGCAGGGCUGUGCGUCGUGGGCUGAGCCUGACGCCAACCUCACCGCAGCACCCAGCGCUGGUUUGUGUCACCGUGGUGCUUGGUGGAGCUCCCGAAGCUCUGCGGUGACUUUGGGGACGUGUGACACCUCCGUGACGUCGCCACGAUGGCUCUGAUGGUGACGUCGCCACGGCUGCGUUGCGGUGGUGACAUCACUGUGACGUCACGGCCCUGUCCCUGCGUGGGGCUGCUCAAAUCAAGCUG
rnacentral:lncRNA from 1 species